rnacentral:tRNA from 1 species
GCGGAUAUGGUGAAGUGGUUAACACAUCGGUUUGUGGUACCGACAUACGAGGGUUCGAUUCCCUUUAUCCGCC